CAACUAUCUGGAACCCUGCCAUGCCAAUGUGCCAUGCCAUUUAUACUAAUUUUGCUUCAACAUUUGAUCAUGUAUUGCUGCUAUAGCCCCCACGUCCUUGGCUUUUUCAAGAGCUACUUAGAUCUCAAAUCUUGUUUAUUCUAUCUGCUGUCCUCCCCCUAGACCUAGUCACCUAGAGCUAGACAUACAUGUGCCUGCAAAAGAAGGGGUCACUACUUUCCAGUACAUUAUCUUCUGAUCGAUUCUCUCCCUAGCUAGUCUUCAUUAUAUAUUGUGAAGGAAGGUUUUAUCAUGUUCCUUCCUUGCUAUAAAAUAAAAGCUUCAGUUCUAUAAAAAGCUGCUGCUGCGCAUAAUGUGAAUAUAGAAGAAGAAGAUUUUAGAUAAACUUGAGGUUUAGAGAGCUAAGCGGCUAGGCCCUAUCAUUUCAUUCAUGACCCAAAAUCUUUAAGCAGUGUGUCAUAUUAUAUAUAUGCAUAUAUAUUAUGGCUUCUUGUUGUUUGUUAACCCGGAAGACUCAUAGAAAGAGCUAUAUAUAUGAUAUGAGAGGUUGUUUCAAACGUUGACAUUCAUCGCCAGCUAAUUAAGAAUGCUAAUUGCCAGUUAACUGGGAAGAGGAGUACAUGUGCUCUAAUUAAUUUGAGGUUUAUAUAUACAUAUAGAGGUAUGUUCCCUAACGUGCAAUUAUUCUUUGAAAAGAAUCAGACACGCGGUGACGCGGUAGCUUUUUCAUCCAACCACGUUCCAUUAUCUACCCUGCUCAUGUACGUGAAAAAUACUAAACUAACUUGGAAGAUAAAAGAUUCCAGUUUUGAUGAGUAUAAAGUAUUUGUAUGCCAAGCCAACUUAGUAUAGCACUUCUGCGGUGCGGUGUCAAGUCAACGAUUCAUUGAUCAAUGAGAAACAGAGAAAAACCAGAAAACCAGUUGUGUUAUACAACGACGAUCGAUGUCUCUUACAGUGAAGGAGCACACUAGCAAAUGCAUAAUAAAGAUCAAAACAAGGAAAAAAACAACGGAAAUACAAAGUUACAUCUCUUUCGCUGCUCAACCUGGAGGAGCUAACAUUCCACAGUUUAUUUCAUUUUCCUCCAUUAAUUUCUUGGCAAACAAGCCAAGAAUCAGGAGAAAAGGAGUUGGCAUUCGUCCAAACAGAAAUUAAAAGGAAAAGAAAAAAAGGAACGGAGAAGGUCAAGGAAGAUUAAGGGUUGAUAUAUAAAUAUAUAUAUAUCAUAUGUAUAAGCCAAGAAUCAGACUUGCCUGAGGUUACAUUUCCUCCUUAAGUUCAUCACCUUCUUUACUGCUGUAAAUCAGGCCAUGACUGAAAGUUGAGGACCCUAUAUCCUCCUCCUGGUGAGCUUUUGGACAUGAAAGAAUGAUCUUCUUCUCCUCUUGACAUUCUUCUCAUCCACUUCUGAAGCACCAUCAUCGUCGUCAUCGAUCCUUCCUUGGACAAGUUCAGUGAAACCCUAAUUAUUAUUUCUCUCGCAGAAAAAUCAACUUAAGUUGUAGACGAAGAAGAAAGAGGCAAUAGAAUUUUGGGGUGGUUGGGUAUAUAUAGAUGUCUUAAUAUAUAAGUAGCAAUCGGUUGUGGGAGCGGAUGAAACAAAGGUGAAAGGGAAAUGAAUUAGGCCACGUACGUACAUGGGAGGCCCUACUUCACAUGUCUCUAUGUGUUUUACUGAUAAAAGGAAUAUCCCAUUAAGUAAAAAGGACCCCCCCUCUUAUAAUUUAAAGUUGGAAUCUGAGGUGAGCUAUCCAAUUUGGAUCCACAUAUAUACCUAAAAAUAAAAACAAAAACAAUAUUCGUUUAUUUUGUGCUCAUAGUUGGCCAAAACUUACCCAUUGGAUUGGAC
rnacentral:lncRNA from 1 species